GUUAGCCCUGUGACGAACUGGCCUGUUCUCACUGUGGUCUGUGAAUGCUGACAGGGAAGUGUGGCUGAAUAGUCUGCAUUGGGGAAUGGGAGACAGCCCGAGGGCGCAUACCUAAGUGUGUAACACGAGAACCCAGGGAGGGGUUGAAGGCCAGGUGACUCCUUAGCCCGGGAAACUGAACAAAGGCUGUGGGAGGGGUCGCUGAAGCCAGAGUGUGGGAAGCAGGCUGGAGAGAUGGCUGGGGGGCAGAGAUGGCUCUGACCUCCCAAGGGGGGCUGGGACCCCAAGAUGGACCAAACUGAGGGGGUCCCUGUUGUCUGUGCCUGCAAGACCUGUCUUGGACUGUAUUCCUGUCAUCCAAAUAAACCUUCUGCUUUACUGGCUGGCUGAGAGUCAUGGUGAAUCGCAGGAAGCCGGGGGUGCAGGGCCCCGAGUCCCCCAAUACUCCGUGACAAGCCCGACCUGUGCGUUGCACUGUGCUGAGGUGUGCGAGCUUGAUAUCAUCUUCAACUUCGAGAAGGCCUAUUUCAUUCUGGACGAGUUCCUCAUGGGCGGGGAGAUCCAAGACACCUCCAAGAAGAGCGUGCUGAAAGCCAUCGAGCAGGCUGACCUGCUGCAGGAGGAGGAUGAGUCACCCCGCAGCGUGCUGGAGGAGAUGGGGCUGGCGUAGCGACCCGUUCGCCGGGCCUCCCCCCACUCGCCAUCCGUCCCCAGCCGCGUCGGACACCGCGGGCGCCACGUCCCCUGCGUCCUCGUCCCGUGGAGCAGCAGCCGGACGUGGGACCAAUUCGCCCUGGAGCCGACGGGGGGGGUGAGCCCCAUGAACUGUGUGUAAAUAUAUAGAUAUACACCCCUUGGGGAGCCCACGGGACCCUGCCAGAGCCCCCCACCCCCGGCGUUCUCCUUCCUGCCGAUGGCCACUAAGAGCGGGGAGCAUGGGGAGAGGGGCCGGCUGGGCGGGGGGACUGUGCGGAGAGAUCCCCCUGCACAGUGAUCCUGCCGCCAGCCGGAGCGAUCGCCACACCACAGCUGGGUACUGCCGGGCAGGGGGCUACAGCCAAUCCCAGGGUCCCAUUUUCCCCGGCACCUCCGUGGGCGGGGCACUCAGGGCGUGGGGAGUGCGUGUGCCCCCCCCCUUGGGGAACCGGGGUCCCCCCUUUGGAAUAAAGUGUGUGUGGAGAA